UCCAAAUAUUACACGGCAAAAAGAAAAGAAAAGCAACUCACAGCCGAGCAUGUAAAACAAAGCUAAUCCCCUGAUUCCCCUUUCUCACACCAGAGCGCCGCCGCCGCCGACGCCGAUCCCGGGAAGCUCCGGCGCACUCCCACCCCACUGCUCACUACCUGCCCCCACUCCCUCAAUAUUCUCCUCCGAUCUCCCCACCCCACCCCACCCGCCCUUCGCCCCGCUGCACGCGGCCCCGCAACAAGCCUAGUCGCCACGCGCCGCCGGCGCGGCUUCGACGGCUCCGGGUUGUCGGCCCAGUACACCUGCAUCUCCUCACGCGUGAUGGUGGUGCUCCGCCUCUUCUACCUCGACUCCGACGUUGAUGGUACUCCGCCUAGGGUUUCUGCACCGUGUUACUCCGUCGAGUAUGAGUGGAGAACACCGUGAUGCGAGUGAUUUCUCUCAAUAAUUUUCUUAGUCAGAUCGAUCUACAACACAUACGCAUUGCAAUUAUGAGAAAGCCAUCAAUAUGCAGAUGAAGCCUUAAGAAUUAUUUAAGUCAUUGUAAUUAUAUAUAUCAUGGUGAGGGCCCUUCCGCUGGUAAGGAAAACUUAGAUUUUUUGCGUAUUAUAUAUUUUUUGAUUGAUGUAACAUUUGUUUUCCCCUGACAAAAAGUAAUGUUUGUUUCAUGUUCUUAUUCAGUAAAAAUGUGCACAGCACAAUCUCAAAUUUUAUGCAAAAGCUCAGAUGGCAAUAGUACUUACACUCAUGUUAUCCAAUAUAAACUGUUGAAUGAUUGAUACAAUUUGAAGGUACUUCUCAAUUUUUGUACUAAUUUUCUAUUUUGGGGAAAGCCACAUAUGUUUCCAACAAUAGAAUGAUGUGUGAUGGUCAUCACACAAACUCCUGGCCAGAUGCCUCUCACAUCUUAUCUUGUUUGUAAUAUAUUCUCCUUAAACUGUUUAACACAAUGAGCAUGUAGAUGUAGUUGGUUCAUCAACGUAAACAUCAAAAGUAUUCCUCUUAUGCAGUCAGCUUCCCUGACAUGCAGGGCACACUAAGGUGGUGGGAAGAUACAUACAACCGUUAACCUGACGGCUAAGCGAUCAGAUGCGGCGAUUGUGUGAGUGUGUCAGGUUACAGAAACUUGAUUGUUCCAAGACAAUGUUGUUGGCACUAAAACCUAAAAGACUACUGGUGCCAAGCUGGAUUUGCUAGGAGAUUGCAAGAUAAAUUGGUGAUGCAUGGUCAGAUGUUGAUUGCAAGGUCAAGAACAUGGGUGCUACUAGAUAGUUUCACAUUGUGUUUCAGAAUGUCAUUUUCAUUGUCGAUGUGUCAAUCAUUAUGAUUCAGGCAUUUUCAGUGUCAAUGUUUAGAUCAUUAUGUUUCAAAAUGCCUGGGACGUUGGUUGCAAGAUCAAGAAUAGGACCAGUACUAGUUUCACAUCUUGUAAUCUUUGUAUCCAGAUCCUUGUAAUGCAACCAAGUUGAUUUAAUAUAUGAGACAGUUUUGUUUGUUA